rnacentral:rRNA from 1 species
GACGAACGCUGGCGGCGUGCUUAACACAUGCAAGUCGAACGGAAAGGCCCUGCUUUUGUGUGGUGCUCGAGUGGCGAACGGGUGAGUAACACGUGAGUAACCUGCCCUUGACUUUGGGAUAACUUCAGGAAACUGGGGCUAAUACCGGAUAGGAGCUCCUGCUGCAUGGUGGGGGUUGGAAAGUUUCGGCGGUUGGGGAUGGACUCGCGGCUUAUCAGCUUGUUGGUGGGGUAGUGGCUUACCAAGGCUUUGACGGGUAGCCGGCCUGAGAGGGUGACCGGCCACAUGGGGACUGAGACACGGCCCAGACUCCUACGGGAGGCAGCAGGGGGGAAUAUUGCACAAUGGGCGGACGCCUGAUGCAGCAACGCCGCGUGCGGGAUGACGGCCUUCGGGUUGUAAACCGCUUUCGCCUGUGACGAAGAGUGAGUGACGGUAAUGGGUAAAGAAGCACCGGCUAACUACGUG